rnacentral:rRNA from 1 species
UACGGGGGGAGCAAGCGUUGUUCGGAUUUACUGGGCGUAAAGAGCUCGUAGGCGGUUCGGCAAGUCGAAUGUGAAAUCUCCACGCUCAACGUGGAGGGGUCAUUCGAUACUGCCGUGACUUGAGUACGGUAGGGGAGUGUGGAAUUCCCGGUGUAGCGGUGAAAUGCGCAGAGAUCGGGAGGAACACCCGUAGCGAAGGCGGCACUCUGGGCCGAUACUGACGCUGAGGAGCGAAAGCGUGGGGAGCGAACAGG